GUUGCCUCCGGGUCUGGCUCGGUCCUCAUUCGGGGUCCUGCCCCUUUUCAGCCCGCCUUUGAUGCUGUCCUCAGAAUUGCCUGACUCUCAUGACAGGACAACGGGGCCCGCUAUCCCACUGCUCCUUUUAUCCGAGUCCAGGAACAACAUCGUAUCGUCUUCAGGAAGAUUUUGGCGAGAACGGGCAUAAUUCGCUUCCCCAAGCCCCAAAGUUGGGUUUCUGACCCGGCGCGUGUGCUGGACGCCUCGGGGCGGAGCCUGGGCUGGCGCGUGUGGCGGGCACUGCGAGCGGCGCGCAGUAUAAAGCGGGACGCGCGGCCACUCGCGCAUGCUUUCGAGAGAGGGAGCGGCUGGUGAGCCUGUCUUGGAGUUUUGAUUGUGUUCCGUUCGCGCGGGUGCAUCUUCAAGCUGAGGGACCACCCACUACAACCCCAUCUUGGUGGUUCCUCCAGGAGUCAAACAGCCCCGCCAUCCCUCUGUGCUUGCUCCUGGGGCAGUGCCUCUCCGGGCUUCCUCCCGUUCGC
rnacentral:lncRNA from 1 species